rnacentral:rRNA from 1 species
AACGAACGUUGGCGGCGUGCCUAAUACAUGCAAGUCGAGCGAGAAACGGGUAGCAAUACCCGGAGUACAGCGGCGAAAGGGUGCGUAACACAUGAAGAACGUACCCUCCAGUUCGGGAUAACACCGCGAAAGCGGUGCUAAUACCGGAUGCCGCCGCGGUGACGCCUGUCGCUGCGGUGAAAGUCGUAAGACGCUGGAGUGAGCGCUUCAUGGCCUAUCAGCUAGUGGCGGGGUAAUGGCCCACCAAGGCUUUGACGGGUAGCCGGACUGAGAGGUCGACCGGCCACACGGGGACUGAGACACGGCCCCGACAUCUACGGAUGGCAGCAGUAGGGAAGUAUUGCGCAAU